AACGCAGACGUGGCCGACGCGGGAGAAAGUGUAUUAUCUGUUCUUAUCAGUUUAGUAUCUGAUACGGGUUGCAUUUGGACCCAAGGUAUUACACUUAUUUUUGCAAUUUGGCGGAAGGCUUGAAGCCUGCUUCACCUCCGUCGUGGAUCGCCCCGGUAUUGCACUAUCUUUGGGAUUGACCCACAGUUU